AGCUUCAUGGCGCAGUGGCAGCGCACCAGGUUCAUAGCCUGGGUGUUCCCCGUUCGACCCGUGGUAAAGCUA